AUAUAAUAAUAACAAACAGUGCUUAUCUGAGGUGUGAUUGAUGUAAGUAA
rnacentral:guide_RNA from 1 species